GAUGAACGCUAGCUACAGGCUUAACACAUGCAAGUCGAGGGGCAGCAUUUCAGUUUGCUUGCAAACUGGAGAUGGCGACCGGCGCACGGGUGAGUAACACGUAUCCAACCUGCCGAUAACUCGGGGAUAGCCUUUCGAAAGAAAGAUUAAUACCCGAUGGUAUAAUCAGACCGCAUGGUCUUGUUAUUAAAGAAUUUCGGUUAUCGAUGGGGAUGCGUUCCAUUAGGCAGUUGGUGGGGUAACGGCUCACCAAACCUUCGAUGGAUAGGGGUUCUGAGAGGAAGGUCCCCCACAUUGGAACUGAGACACGGUCCAAACUCCUACGGGAGGCAGCAGUGAGGAAUAUUGGUCAAUGGGCGCAGGCCUGAACCAGCCAAGUAGCGUGAAGGAUGACUGCCCUAUGGGUUGUAAACUUCUUUUAUAUGGGAAUAAAGUUUUCCACGUGUGGAAUUUUGUAUGUACCGUAUGAAUAAGGAUCGGCUAACUCCGUGCCAGCAGCCGCGGUAAUACGGAGGAUCCGAGCGUUAUCCGGAUUUAUUGGGUUUAAAGGGAGCGUAGGUGGACAGUUAAGUCAGUUGUGAAAGUUUGCGGCUCAACCGUAAAAUUGCAGUUGAUACUGGCUGUCUUGAGUACAGUAGAGGUGGGCGGAAUUCGUGGUGUAGCGGUGAAAUGCUUAGAUAUCACGAAGAACUCCGAUUGCGAAGGCAGCUCACUGGACUGCAACUGACACUGAUGCUCGAAAGUGUGGGUAUCAAACAGGAUUAGAUACCCUGGUAGUCCACACAGUAAACGAUGAAUACUCGCUGUUUGCGAUAUACAGUAAGCGGCCAAGCGAAAGCAUUAAGUAUUCCACCUGGGGAGUACGCCGGCAACGGUGAAACUCAAAGGAAUUGACGGGGGCCCGCACAAGCGGAGGAACAUGUGGUUUAAUUCGAUGAUACGCGAGGAACCUUACCCGGGCUUAAAUUGCAUUUGAAUAUAUUGGAAACAGUAUAGCCGUAAGGCAAAUGUGAAGGUGCUGCAUGGUUGUCGUCAGCUCGUGCCGUGAGGUGUCGGCUUAAGUGCCAUAACGAGCGCAACCCUUAUCUUUAGUUACUAACAGGUCAUGUUGAGGACUCUAGAGAGACUGCCGUCGUAAGAUGUGAGGAAGGUGGGGAUGACGUCAAAUCAGCACGGCCCUUACGUCCGGGGCUACACACGUGUUACAAUGGGGGGUACAGAAGGCAGCUACCUGGUGACAGGAUGCUAAUCCCAAAAGCCUCUCUCAGUUCGGAUCGAAGUCUGCAACCCGACUUCGUGAAGCUGGAUUCGCUAGUAAUCGCGCAUCAGCCAUGGCGCGGUGAAUACGUUCCCGGGCCU
rnacentral:rRNA from 1 species